rnacentral:rRNA from 1 species
GACAGAGGUGGCAAGCGUUGUUCGGAUUUACUGGGCGUAAAGAGUGCGUAGGUGGUGAGGUAAGACCUGUGGGAAAGACCUGGGCUUAACCCAGGAAGGUCGCAGGUGACUGCCUCGCUUGAGGACGGGAGAGGAGAGCGGAAUUCCCGGUGUAGCGGUGAAAUGCGUAGAGAUCGGGAAGAAGGCCGGUGGCGAAGGCGGCUCUCUGGAACGUUCCUGACACUGAGGCACGAAAGCGUGGGGAGCAAACAGGG